CCUACGGGUGGCAGCAGUGAGGAAUAUUGGUCAAUGGACGAGCGUCUGAACCAGCCAAGUAGCGUGAAGGAUGACUGCCCUAUGGGUUGUAAACUUCUUUUAUAUGGGAAUAAAAUGUUCCACGUGUGGGAUUUUGUAUGUACCAUAUGAAUAAGGAUCGGCUAACUCCGUGCCAGCAGCCGCGGUAAUACGGAGGAUCCGAGCGUUAUCCGGAUUUAUUGGGUUUAAAGGGAGCGUAGGUGGAUUGUUAAGUCAGUUGUGAAAGUUUGCGGCUCAACCGUAAAAUUGCAGUUGAAACUGGCAGUCUUGAGUACAGUAGAGGUGGGCGGAAUUCGUGGUGUAGCGGUGAAAUGCUUAGAUAUCACGAAGAACUCCGAUUGCGAAGGCAGUUCACUGGACUGCAACUGACACUGAGGCUCGAAAGUGUGGGUAUCAAACAGGAUUAGAUACCCGAGUAGUC
rnacentral:rRNA from 1 species